rnacentral:rRNA from 1 species
GAAGCGAAUGCAGCUGAAGUGGCUCCGUAUCAGGUUCAGGGGACGUUGGAGGUGCUCUGGGUGUCGACGAAUGUUGCCGCCCUGAGAGGCCGCCGACAAGCACUCCUGUUGGGAGCCGGCCAACAGCAGUUGCUUCUGGCCCAGAAGGGAGCGUAUAGCCGUUCGCGACUGAGGAGAGCAGCGCAGGCCCCCGGGCCGCCUCUGUCCGUUUUCCCGCCGAGGGGGCAGUGUCUGCUGACGGUUCGCCUGCUCGGUCGGGGGGUCGGCCACGCCUUGCGCUCGGGCUGUUGGUGCUCAAAUGGCUGCAUCCGACCCGUCUUGAAACACGGACCAAGGAGUGCAACAUGCGUGCGAGUCUUGGAGUGGAAAACUCGUCCGUAAAUGAAGGUGAAGGCAGGCCGCAUCGUCGACCGAUCCCAUGGCUACGCUGUGGCGGGAUUUGAGUAAGAGCGUGCCUGUUGCGACCCGAAAGAUGGUGAACUAUGCCUGAAUAGGGUGAAGCCASAGGAAACUCUGGUGGAAGCUCGUAGCGAUUCUGACGUGCAAAUCGAUCGUCAAAUUUGGGUAUAGGGGCGAAAGACUAAUCGAACCAUCUAGUAGCUGGUUCCCUCCGAAGUUUCCCUCAGGAUAGCUGGAGCCCGAGUCAGUUUUAUCAGGUAAAGCGAAUGAUUAGAGGUCUUGGGGUUGAAACAACCUCAACCUAUUCUCAAACUUUAAAUGGGUAAGAAGCUCGGCUUGCUCAAUUGAAGUCGGGCAUGGAAUGCCGGGGCUCUUAGUGGGCCAUUUUUGGUAAGCAGAACUGGCGAUGUGGGAUGAACCAAAUGCCGAGUUAAGGUGCCGGAAUCGACGCUCAUCAGAUCCCAUGAAAGGUGUUGGUUGAUCCAGACAGCAGGACGGUGGCCAUGGAAGUCGGAAUCCGCUAAGGAGUGUGUAACAACUCACCUGCCGAAUCAACUAGCCCUGAAAAUGGAUGGCGCUGA